ACAUGGACAAUAUGCUUCAAUUUGUAAAUUUGAUGCAAAGAAGUGUAUGGUCCAUAGAG
rfam:Monodelphis domestica chromosome X, whole genome shotgun sequence.